rnacentral:rRNA from 1 species
GACGAACGCUGGCGGCGUGCUUAACACAUGCAAGUCGAACGGAAAGGCCUCUUUCGGGGGGUACUCGAGUGGCGAACGGGUGAGUAACACGUGAGUAACCUGCCCUUGACUUUGGGAUAACUUCAGGCAACUGGGGCUAAUACCGGAUAGGAGCUCCUGCUGCACGGUGGGGGUUGGAAAGUUUCGGCGGGUGGGGGUGGACUCGCGGCUUAUCCGCUUGUUGGUGGGGAAGUGGCUUACCAAGGCUUUGACGGGUAGCCGGCCUGCGAGGGUGACCGGCCACAUUGGGACUGAGAGACGGCCCAGGCUCCUACGGGAGGCAGCAGGGGGGAAUAUUGCACAAGGGGUGGAAGCCGGAUGCAGCAACGCCGUGUGCGGGAUGACGGCCUUCGGGUUGUAAACCGCUUUCGCUCAUGACGAAGCUUUGUGUGACGGUAGUGGGUAAAGAAGCACCGGCUAACUACGUG